UACGGAGGGGGCUAGCGUUGUUCGGAAUUACUGGGCGUAAAGCGCACGUAGGCGGCUUUGCAAGUUAGAGGUGAAAGCCCGGGGCUCAACUCCGGAAUUGCCUUUAAAACUGCAUCGCUAGAAUUGUGGAGAGGUAAGUGGAAUUCCGAGUGUAGAGGUGAAAUGCGUAGAGAUAUGGAGGAACACCAGUGGCGAAGGCGACUUUCUGGUCUGUAACUGACACUGAGGCGCGAAAGCGUGGGGAGCAAACAGG
rnacentral:rRNA from 1 species